UACGGAGGGUGCGAGCGUUAUCCGGAUUCACUGGGUUUAAAGGGUGCGUAGGUGGGAAUGUAAGUCAGUGGUGAAAUCUCCGUGCUUAACACGGAAACUGCCAUUGAUACUAUGUUUCUUGAAUUUUCUGGAGGUUAGCGGAAUAUGUCAUGUAGCGGUGAAAUGCUUAGAUAUGACAUAGAACACCAAUUGCGAAGGCAGCUAACUACAGGGAUAUUGACACUGAGGCACGAAAGCGUGGGGAUCAAACAGG
rnacentral:rRNA from 1 species